rnacentral:ncRNA from 2 species
CAAAUGUGUUUAAGCAGAAAAAAUAGACCGAAAUUCGUGUUUGAGUGGAAAAUCUGGCUAUAUGCUGGAAUAACUCAGUAUCCAACAGUACCCUGAGCUUGUCGAAGGGUGACAAUCUGUUGGUGGAGUCAAUCAGCAGGCAACCCCCGAUUUAAUCGGGGAGAGUCCUCAACGACUAUAUGCCAGAGUCCGUUUCUAGCGGACAAGAUAUAGUCUGCUCUGCAUGGCGACAUGCAG